UAUUAUGUGGAUAAGUACAUUUGUCACGGAUAAUAAGCAGGUGCGGAGUAUUAUAAUUACUGUAUAGGUAAACAGGAUGGAGCUUGUGGGGAACUUCGCUGCAUAUGUGGCAAACCAUUAUAAGCAUCAUUUCAGCAGUGACUGUCGAAAAAUAGCACAGGUGGGAGUUGCUUUAAUGCGGAGCAAUAGGCUGUACCAGCUUCUGGUCAUAGGACUGAAUAAAUAUUAUGAAUAACAAAGGGAAAAAUAUGGAUAGAAAGAUUUUAAUCAGAUGGUCUAUCACUAUUCUUGGGUGUCUUGGAAUUAUUGUCACAAUUGUUUGCGUUUGUUCCUUACUGAUUCCCAUUUAUUAUGAUACGUUUAAUUCAUCCAGAAUUAAUGGCUACUCAGCAGAUUUGGGUAUUGCAGCUGGGGUACUAUUAACUUUAUUGGGUAUUGUUUCUUUUUGCCUUUAUAUAGAAGAAAAGACUCAUCUGGCCUGUGUAAGUUAUAUUGCUUAAAUUUUAGUUUUAUAAUUUCUUGUACAUUGUGAUCAUAUUAUGAUUUAUAUAACUGAUUACUAAAAAAUGCUUGUCUC
rnacentral:lncRNA from 1 species